rnacentral:rRNA from 1 species
UACGUAGGGCGCAAGCGUUGUCCGGAAUUAUUGGGCGUAAAGAGCUCGUAGGUGGUUUGUCGCGUUGUUCGUGAAAACUCACAGCUCAACUGUGGGCGUGCGGGCGAUACGGGCAGACUUGAGUACUGCAGGGGAGACUGGAAUUCCUGGUGUAGCGGUGGAAUGCGCAGAUAUCAGGAGGAACACCGGUGGCGAAGGCGGGUCUCUGGGCAGUAACUGACGCUGAGGAGCGAAAGCGUGGGGAGCGAACAGG